rnacentral:rRNA from 1 species
UACAGAGGUCCCGAGCGUUGUUCGGAUUCAUUGGGCGUAAAGGGUGCGUAGGCGGCGGGGCAAGUCUGAUGUGAAAUCCUGGGGCUCAACCCCAGAACUGCAUUGGAUACUGCCUUGCUAGAGUACUGGAGAGGGAACUGGAAUUUACGGUGUAGCAGUGAAAUGCGUAGAGAUCGUAAGGAAGGCCAGUGGCGAAGGCGAGUUCCUGGACAGUUACUGACGCUGGAGGCACGAAGGCCAGGGGAGCAAACGGG